GUCUACGGCCAUGCCACCCUGAACGUGCCCGAUCCCGUCUGAUCUUCGAAGCUAAGCAGGGUUGGGCCUGGUUAGUACUUGGAUGGGAGACCAGCUAGGAAGACCAGGUGCUGUAGGCA
rnacentral:rRNA from 1 species